GACAGGCAAAGAGGGCCAGUGUGGCAGCACUUAAUUCAAUGGAACUUUUCCUUCUGUAUAACCUGAGGCACUCUGGGGUUCUUGAACCCAGCAGCUGGGCAAGAUAAUCAUUGUAAUAAGUGAUAAAUUAACCUGUUCCACUCUCCUUUGCAUGGGUGUGAUGAGCUUUAAGUAAACCAGUGAGCACUUGCCAAAAGCUUGUUCUUCGCCAGGGAGGAGGGAGAAAAAUAUAGCUUGCGAUAGAUAAAGUAACUCUGCUUCCCCAGGAAGAGGAACAGAGACAAUUAAAGAUCACAACUGAGGAUGAUUUAAAAACCGAGGCACAGCCAAGACCUUUCCUCCUCCUGUGCUCAUCAAGCAAUCACCGCUCAUCACCCCUCUGCUUCAAACACCUCAUUUGCAUCUGGCUGACCUUGACUCCCCUCUGUGGAUGGGAAGAUGAAGAGGUGGAAGUGUAAAAGAUUGGAAUUUUAUGGGUGAGUUGUGAAAUAGUGGUUGGUGCAGGCUGGUUUUAUGGAAACAUCGAGUGCUGUGCCAUGGAGGAUGAGAGUAAAUGGAUUAAACAGGAGAUGAAAAGAGGAAGG
rnacentral:lncRNA from 1 species